rnacentral:lncRNA from 1 species
GGUUGUGCGCGUGCGUAGCACGCAAGGUCGGUUGGGAGUGGUAGUCGGUUCCCGCACUUUAAACGCCUUACCAACUAUAAAGGGCGAGAAAGGAAAGAUCUCUUCCCUCAGACUUCUCUUUUCCCAGGUGGGCCAGUUCUUGGCCUCGCGGGCUUACGUCAUGGGAGGAAUGCGGUGACGCGACGCUGCUCUUGUGACGUCGACGACGAAGGCCGGGCUCCCGGUUCGAUGAUGUCAUCGGGUCCUUUUUUCCUCCCCCUGCUGCCCUGCGAUGGAAAUGGCAAGGAUGGAGGAACAAGUUAAAUGACAUCAGGAAACAGCUGUCAAACCCCAAGGGUGGAGUAUGCUGGAGGACAACUGUCUCUUCGAUGAAUCAGUCAUGGCAAAAGGGAAUGGGGAGUAUUCUAGGGCAGGUGACAUCAUUGACAUUUGGGGCCAAACUGCAUUGUAGGGUGCUGAGCAGCAUCCCUGGCUGCCACUCACUACAUGCCAGGAGCACACAGCCCCCACCCCUCACCAGAUGUGACAACCAAAGAUGUUUCCAGACACAGCCAAAUGUCCUUGGAGAUAUUGCCCUAGAGGAUGGCAGAGCAACUGGCAGGAGGACCUGGGAUCCCCAGGCCAAAAGAGACAAACAUUCUCUCUUGUUUAAGCCAAUUAUUGGGUCCUCAUUAAAUUGAGAGAACUAUGACUUUGGUAAUCCUGUUCCAAGUUUUUAUAUUCACUGAAAGUUUCACACCAGAUAAGAAUGCUCAUUGAAGCAGAAAGGCGAUGUGGGUGUCCAUCCCUAGGGGACCAGAAAGAUGAAAUAAGGAAGGCUGCAGAAUACAAAACACUAAGCCAACAGUGAAAGCAACAAAGUAGCUCUUAAAAAAAAGCUGAUGGGGAGAUCCUGUCGUGGCGCAGUGGUUAACGAAUACGACUGGGAACCAUGAGGUUGCGGGUUCGGUCCCUGCCCUUGCUCAGUGGGUUAACGAUCCGGUGUUGCCGUGAGCUGUGGUGUAGGUUGCAGACGCGGCUUGGAUCUGGCUUUGCUGUGGCGCUGGCGUAGGCCAGUGGCUACAGCUCCGAUUCAACCCCUAGCCUGGGAACCUCCACAUGCUGCGGAAGCGGCCCAAGAAAUAGCAAAAAGACAAAAAAAAAAAAAAAAAAAAAAAA